UCUAAUUGGGACAUUGGUUCCUAGCUGAGCUGACACAAACAAACUUGCAUGUUUCGUCCCUACAACCUGUUAUCAUGCUAUUUUUGUUCUGUCCGUCUGCCACAUUUGAUAUCAAUCAUGUUCAUGCCACUACCUUAUCAAGCAAACUGGAUUUUCUACGCUUAAGAUACAUGUUAGAAUUCUGAUAGAAUCACAAAUCUUAUCUUUUUAUAUCGAUUAUCUUAUUUUGAAUUCUAUGGUGACGCCUAUCACCAUCCAUUUCUUUUGCGACCUUGAGGUCGAACACACUUUAGAGUGGACUCUGCCUGUGCAGCAUGACGGAGCCAAUGAUAUAGCUUUUGUUUGUAUAAUCUUGAUCAGUCUCAUCUUAACAACCUCUAGAGUAAGCCACCCUAGAAAUGAAAACUACAGAAUGUAAAUGUUUGAUGCCUUUGAAAUUGCAGCCUUCAAGUUACAAGCGGCACAAAAAAGAUCGAAAAGCGUGCCUACGAGGGUUGGAAAACCUCAGUCCUCACAUCUAAUAGAGAAACCAAGGCAGAAGUUCUUUGCAAGCGGACCAGACAAACUAGCCUAAACCUUCUGAAGGAUGUACAUGUACACGUAUCCGAAACUCAGAACUUGGAGGCUCUAUAGGACGAUACAUGUUUGCCUUCUUGUGCCAUACGAUCGAGAACGUCAAGCAAAGCAUUGAAACGGUGAACGAAUUAUUGAAGUUCUGAUUGCAAACUCAUCAGAUAUCGAUAUGUAGAUUGAGUGAAAUGUAUCAAUAGAAAUUUCAAAUUUCAUCCAUGAAUACAAGCAGAGUUCAUGUUU